rnacentral:rRNA from 1 species
UGGGGAAUAUUGCACAAUGGGCGCAAGCCUGAUGCAGCCAUGCCGCGUGUGUGAAGAAGGCCUUCGGGUUGUAAAGCACUUUCAGCGAGGAGGAAGGGUAGUGUGUUAAUAGCACAUUGCAUUGACGUUACUCGCAGAAGAAGCACCGGCUAACUCCGUGCCAGCAGCCGCGGUAAUACGGAGGGUGCAAGCGUUAAUCGGAAUUACUGGGCGUAAAGCGCACGCAGGCAGUUUGUUAAGUCAGAUGUGAAAUCCCCGCGCUUAACGUGGGAACUGCAUUUGAAACUGGCAAGCUAGAGUCUUGUAGAGGGGGGUAGAAUUCCAGGUGUAGCGGUGAAAUGCGUAGAGAUCUGGAGGAAUACCGGUGGCGAAGGCGGCCCCCUGGACAAAGACCUGACGCUCAGGUGCGAAA